rnacentral:lncRNA from 1 species
CACUCAGGGAGCUUACAUGCCGGUGGGCAGACUCAGAAAACAAAUUAAAUAUUAUGUUAAGUAGUGGGAAGUGCUACAGAUAAAAGUAAAGCAGUGUAUUCUUUGAUUUUAAAGAUAAGGAAAAUAGGGCCAGGCGUGGUGGCUCACGCCUGUAAUCCCAGCACUUUGGGAGGCCGAGGCAGGCAGAUCACUUGAGGUCAGGAGUUUGAGACCAGCCUGACCAACAUGGUGAAACCCCAUCUCUACUAAAAAUACAAAAAUCAGCCAGCCAUGGCGGCGGGUGCCUGUAAUCCCAGCUACUUGGGAGCUGAGGCAGGAGAAUUGCUUGAACCCGGGAGGCGGAGGCUGCAGUGAUCUGAGGUCGUGCCACUGCACUCCAGCCUGGGUGACAGAGGAAGACUCCAUCUCAAAAAAAAAAGACUUUUAAGAUUUUGACCUAAGUAACAGGAAGGAUGGAGUUGCCACAAGGUAAGAUUAUGUGAUGAGUAGGUUUUAGGGGAGAAUUGAGAGUUCAGUUUUGACAGGUUAACUUAGAGCUACCUGUAGACACCUACACAGAGUCAGUAGCAGCAGCAAUAAGACCAUCAUUU